CAAAAACAUCGCCUCCCGCAAAAAUCAAUGUAUAGGAGGUCCUGCCUGCCCAGUGACUAUAAGUUAAACGGCCGCGGUAUUUUGACCGUGCAAAGGUAGCGCAAUCACUUGUCUUUUAAAUGAAGACCCGUAUGAAUGGUGUAACGAGGGCUUAACUGUCUCCCCCUUCUAGUCAAUGAAAUUGAUCUAUCCGUGCAGAAGCGGGUAUAAUAAUACAAGACGAGAAGACCCUUUGGAGCUUAAGACAAAAGACCAACUAUGUCAAAAGUCCUGAAAAAGACUAAACCAAAUAGUACUGGUCCUAAUCUUCGGUUGGGGUGACCACGGGAGAAAACAAAGCUCCCAUGCGGACUGGGGUUAUUCCCUAAAACUAAGAGAGACAUCUCUAAAACACAGAACAUCUGACCAUAAAGAUCCGGCUACAUGCCGACCAACGGACCAAGUUACCCUAGGGAUAACAGCGCAAUCCCCUUCCAGAGUCCAUAUCGACAAGGGGGUUUACGACCUCGAUGUUGGAUCAGGACAUCCUAAUGGUGCAGCCGCUAUUAAGGGUUC
rnacentral:rRNA from 1 species